rnacentral:lncRNA from 10 species
CGCUAUUGUUUCGUCCUCAUUUUCUCUUGCUGCUACCAUGGAAGAAGCGACUUUCGCCUCCCGCCGUGAUUCUGAGGCCUUUCCAGCCAUGUCAAACUCAAAAUGUGACUGAAAAACAGAAGCAUUUGGAAUACGUAACAGAAGUCAUUAAAAAGAGGAUCUUAUUCCUUUUGAUGUGCUGCUGGAUUCAGUUUGAAGGUAUUCUACUGACAGAGACAUAGACGAAUGGGACAGGAUAGAGAAGCCAGAAAUAAUGUUGCAACCUUACAGCCAUCUGAUCUUCAACAAAGUCAACAAAAAGAGACGAUGAAGAAAGGGCUGCUCCCUAUUCAAUAAAUGACACUGGGAAAACUGGCUAGUCAUACUCAGAAGAAUAAAAUUGGACCCCUU